UUCGUAAAUAGAGGAGCGAGUGAAUGGUAGUAUAUAUAUGCUAAGGAAAGGAACUUCCAAUGAUAUAUACGAAGGAUUUACACGCCGAAAGGGUAUACUUGUUCUUAGGUAUAUUGCUUGGGGGUAGGAAGUAAAUUUUCUACCACUGUCAUAAGAUAUUAUGAUGAGCUAUUUAUGUG
rfam:Clostridium argentinense CDC 2741 T732.Contig248, whole genome shotgun sequence.